UCUCUCUGGACUGUCCCAGCCCAUGACAUACCCUUUGCUUCCAGUAACUGAGUGGUCAUCUUUUGCUGAGCAAAGUAACAUCUUGGACUGGAUGAUAGGAUCCAGGGGUAGUAGGACCCAGGGGAAGACGGCAGAAGUCAGAAGAAAGGCCAGCCCAGCUGCUUUCCCUGCAUGCGCAGGCCCCCCACUGCAUUGCUGGACUGCAGGAGCACAGGGACUAAGGCUGGCUAUAAGGAUGGACAAUAGUGGCACACAGACCAAUUCCCAGAUGGGUUCCACUUCAUGGACAAGUAGUAUAGUGUGGAGUUUUGACAAGGGCUGCAGAUUAAGCUCCUGCAACUGGCAGCAAAACUGUGCUAUAUGAAGCAAAGACUCUGCAAAGAAAGAAGUUUAAAGAUCAUCUAUCAAAGCAACAGAGAAAGCACUGAUGCAAUUACUUUUAACUCAACAGAAAAACCAAGCCAAGGUUUCUAUGGCUAGACAUAUGGAUAAGUCAGGUGGCAUAUGCUGCAGUAAUAUUCUCCAAACAAAUUCUUGCAGUCUUCACAACUUUGUUGAGCCUACAAGUAAACAUGCAAAUAAUAAAAACUCUAAACAUUAGGCUGAGAAUUGAAUUAUUUUAGUUCUGUCCAGUACUGAGCUGCUUUCACUGCAAGUGAACUGGUGAGUACGGACUAUUAUCCCACAUGACCAAUCCUACACUUUGAGGAUUUUACAUGGUUUUGCAACCUGCCUCACCAUUGUCCACAGAAAAGAUACUCGUAUAGAGGCUCAGAGUCUAGACAAUCAGUAUUAAAAUAAGUCUGUAUUUAGACCUGCUACAUACAGUUUGGGAACUAGUCUUUUAACUCUAACUCACAGUACAUCCCCUCGAAAAGUACGUAAGGUUUGCCGUGCCUGGUCAGGCAAUUGAGCUUUGAGUGGGCACAAGACAGGAGGUCACAUGUCUGAGUCCACACUUCCCCUCCUGUUUUCUUACUAGUGUGCUUACACUGCUCCAGAAGUGCAAGCAGCAGAAGAACAAAGACAAAACCUGGUUUUAGCAUCUACUGUGAUUUUGCAAAGCACCCAUCCCCAUGGUAUUAGGUGAGAGCUCUAUACUCAAGAACACAUGAAGUGCUUGGAAGCUACAGAAGAGACACAAAGGUCUCACCCACAUUAUAAAUACAAGAACCAAUGGACUUAGGCUGAAUGCACACACAAAUUGUGACCCACCAGUGUGGGACCUAAGCCCUAAGCACAGUCUCCCUACGCAAUGAAUGGGGGGGAAUUCUGUACCUCAGAAUGGAAGUCAACCACUAACAUUUUUUGGCAGGGAACCAUCUAAGCUAGCUGAGCAUAGGACCACAUCAAACUCUGCCUUUCUGGGGCCAUGGCAUGUUAUUCCAUGCUACAGUGAAGCGCCUUCCUCCAAUUUGGAAUCCAUAGCUCAGAACUCCUCUGAAGGCAACUACCCAAGUUCUCUCUUUUAAAACCCUAAACCUAAAUCCCCUUCUCUCUUUCAAGACACAGGAGGUAGGAAGGACAUUUGUUCUCCUUUUACCUAAUAACUUGACGGUUAGGUCACUCAACCAAGAUGUAGGAGACCUAAAUUCAAAUUUCUUCUGCUAAGAACAUUCAAAUCAAAUCUCUCCCCACUAUCUCUCAGGCCAGUACUCUAGUCACCAGGCUGCAGACUAGGCUGGGGUAAGGGCAUUCUCCAUCCCUCUUGCAGAUCUAAUUUAAAAAUACUGAGUGGAUAGGGAAGAAGGAAGUCAAAAUUAUUAUAUUUAAUAAAUGGUAGAGAGAAGGGGGGAGGCAGGGUUCCCAUUCCAAUGACUAUUACAGCAUUUUAUACAGCAGGGCUGUCCAACUGGUGGCCCACAUAAUCCCUCAUGGGCUGCAUGGGGUAAGCCAAGACCCAACAGUUCUGCCCAACUGCAACUGCAGUUGAAAACUACUGGCUCUCCUACCCUCCUCCAUCAGUUGCUUCUUGCUGCUCUCCCAAAGAAUGGGGCAGUGCAGUGCUAUGCAGGAAACAGAAUGUGAGGCCGGGACCACAGACACACAGGCUACCUUACAGACAUUUGGAAAAAAAAAACAAAAACCCAAAAGGUGCUCUUUUUAAACUCAGCAUUUUCCAAUGCCAAGCCCCAUGCACACCUGGAAGAGGCAUUGCCUUAGCUGGACCUGGCUUGCCCAACAUUUGUAUAGAUCAGGCAAUUUAGUGGGCCUUUUUUUGGCACUUUUAUCUAAUAGUUGACUGAAUCAGCUUUUGAUAAAAGCACCAAAAAGUCCCACUGAAGCACCCAAUCUAUACAGACGCUGCAGAGCCGGGUUGACGUAACAUGCUACUUCUCCAGUAAAGCACAGAUUUUUGUUUUUGUUUUUAACAUCUGCAAGCAGCCGUGGUGCAAUGGGUGGGGGGAGUGCCCAUAUGGGUGUGCUGUGCACUAGGGCAUCUACACAACAUAUGACCCAGAAGGCCUGUAGCUCACCCUGGUGCAGCCCCCAGAGUAUGAGUUCUGCUGGUGCUUUCUGAUCACAAAGGAAAAGCUUCAAGAAGGGGAAGUGACAGUGCUCCCAUGCCAGAACUUCUUACUGCCUGGUGUUCACAUCACUCUCCUGGGAGGUGUUAGUUUGAAUCCUCUCUCUCAGAGGAGGAAAAUGCAUGCAGGUCUCCAACUUACUGGGCACAUGCUUUAACUAUUUGUUUUAGAAAGGAGAUGAAGAGGGGAGAACAAACAUCACCACUUACUGUUGCAGCCAUCAUUUGAAAGAAAACAGAAGUAGGCAUCAUAGGUUAAGCCACUUGGGGAACUCAGACAGGAAAAUGCCUAGUUUGUGGAUGGUGAUGGAGUUAAGCAAUAGUUAGAUGCCUGGCUGUUCAGCAAGUAUCAGGUACAGAAGGUUAUGCGUGUACCCCAAAACAAAAGUUAGGCACUAGGGGAAUUCAAGCCCUAAAACCUGAGAUAUUUCCAAACACUGGAUAACUAAGAGCCAGUCAGCAGCCAACUGAGGAUAUGGAAAAAUCCUGGUUUUAGACUUGGGCUCGUUAGAUCUCUCCAGAUCUAGACCCUGGUUAUAGCAGUUUCAGCCCAUGAUUCAACAUCAGGAAAUUUUUCUUCACUGUUAAAACAGUGAGAGAGGAAAUGACUGCCUGAACAAGUUGUGGAAUCUCCUUCACUGGAGGUUUUCAAGAGAUUGUAUAAAAUACUGGACAUGGAUAACCCAGGAGUAGUAAUGCCUACAGUGAGAUGUGAAGAGCAACUAUUGAAAGGCAAGAAGACCCCCACCACUUUCAGAUCACAAGAAGAGCUCUGAAGCCCAGAGCCAGUAGAAACUGAAAAGGACUAUGCUUGGCAGCAGGAAAAUAAAGCAGAGCUUCACAGCUAGCUAGAUUAUGAAACGAACUAAAGAGCAGGAACAAAUUUAUGGAGGGGAUAGGAUGACAGAGAAGGAAGAUCUGGCUCUCCAGUUACAGUGUGUGGAGCUGUUAAUUUUGUUGGUGGUUUGGUCUGUUAGUUUUAUUUUGGGGGUGGGGAGGAGGGGCAGAGGAUAUUAUGCCUGUAGUUGUGCAAGAGGACAGUUCAUGCAAUUUUAAGAGGUUAGAUGCACACUUAUCUAGGAUGGCUUAGAUCAGCAAUUCUCAGCCACAGUAUCAUGGGGUGCCUUAAGAUCCUUUCAGGGGUGCCAUGCAAUGUUAGCACUGUUAGGUGGGCAAACAAGACAAACCCAGAGAUUUCAAAUAGGACUCCACAGUGCUAAAAGCACUCCAAUCUGUUGGGGUCGUCCCGAGUUGUUUGCAACAGAAGAAUUGCUCUUAUCCUUUUUCUGUAGUCAAAAAUUAAAAAGCAGAAUGAAGCGCUGGAGGUUUCCAAGGGGUGCCUUGAGUCUAAGAAGGUUGUGAACCACUGGUUUAGAGGUGAUCCUGCUGUGAACCGUAGGCAGGACUAGACGUGCUCUCGAGGUGACUGCCAGCUCUACUCUCCUAGUUUUAUCAUGCGUGCAGCAAAGUGUGUACACAACCUGGACCAGGGGCUCCGAGCAACUGCCUCGCUUGCUAACAGGACGGGUGUGGCACAUGAGGUCUGAAACUUCUACUGACAGCACCCCCACCUGCCCCCUCCCCACCUUGCCGGGCGAAGCCACGUUAAAGCACCCCACUCUCCCCAGGCCGUCGGGACCUUCGAGGAAGCCUGCGCUUGAGGCGGAGGACGAGGCCCGUG